UGGAGUACCUAGCGCGAAGUUAUGAACGUUCGAAUAAUCAGGGUGAGUGAGGUUAAGCGUGCUCGGGCAAGAGUAGUACUAAAAUGGGUGACCUCGUGGGAAGUCCUCGUGUUGCACCCC
rnacentral:rRNA from 1 species